AACGCACGAGACCUGCGGACCUGCGGAGGGAUCAUUACCGAGUUAUCCAACUCCCAACCCCUGUGAAUUAUACCCUUAAUUGUUGCUUCGGCGGGACUUCGCGCCCGCCGGGGACCCAAACCUUCUGAAUUUUUUAAUAAGUAUCUUCUGAGUGGUUAAAAAAAUGAAUCAAAACUUUCAGCAAUGGAUCUCU
rnacentral:misc_RNA from 1 species